rnacentral:lncRNA from 1 species
CCUGCCCGAAAGGGCAGAGAGGCUGUUUCCAGUCGACCCUCGGCGUAUAGGAUAAAAAAGGGAGAGCUGCAUUAAGAAACAAAGGUAAAAUUAGAAACACAAGCAAGACAAAACAAAAUAACAAAGCACAAGUACACCCGCAGAAAUAACGUAAAUAAUUAUGGAAAUAUAAGCAACAUAAAUACAGUCGCAUGCAAUAAUUACAAGCAGUAACUACCAUACUAACAACCCUCUGGGGACAUAAGCUAAAACACUA